rnacentral:rRNA from 1 species
ACGGGGACCCGCACAAGCGGUGGAUGAUGUGGAUUAAUUCGAUGCAACGCGAAAAACCUUACCUACCCUUGACAUGGUUGGAAUCCUGAAGAGAUUUGGGAGUGCUCGCAAGAGAACCAAUACACAGGUGCUGCAUGGCUGUCGUUAGCUCGUGUCGUGAGAUGUUGGGUUAAGUCCCGCAACGAGCGCAACCCUUGUCAUUAAUUGCCAGCAUUGAGUUGGGCACUUUAAUGAGACUGCUGGUGACAAACCGGAGGAAGGUGGGGAUGACGUCAAGUCCUCAUGGCCCUUAUGGGUAGGGCUUCACACGUCAUACAAUGGUACAUACAGAGGGUUGCCAAGCCGCGAGGUGGAGCUAAUCCCAGAAAGUGUAUCUGUAGUCCGGAUUGGAGUCUGCAACUCGACUCCAUGAAGUUGGAAUCGCUAGUAAUCGCUGGAUCAGCAUGUCGCGGUGAAUACGUUCCCGGGUCUUGUACACACCGCCCGUCACACCAUGGGAGCGGGUUUCACCAGAAGUAGGUAGCUUAACCGCAAGGAGGGCGCUUACCACGGUGGGAUUCGUGACUGGGGUGAAGUCGUAACAAGGUAGCCGUAUCGGAAGGUGCGGCUGGAUCACCUCCUUUUUG